ACCCCACAAGCCCCCCUUCCACUCCGGUCUCUCAAGAAGGAGAAUCCUCGAGCCCCUCUUCCACUCCGGUCUCUCAAGAAGGAGAAUCCACGAGGCCCCCUUCUACUCCGGUCUCUCAAGAUUCAGACCCCACAAGCCCCCCUUCCACUCCGGUCUCUCAAGAAGCAGAAUCCACGAGGCCCCCUUCCACUCCGCUCUCUCAAGAUAACAUGGCAACAGCAAGGGUCAAACUAAAUGUACCCAAAGGAGUGAAUCUUGAGGACCCCAAAGUGUACGAAGCCAUUUUAGAGCAGAUCCGGGAGCACCUCUCCAAGAACUUUCCAAUGGACGGUGUUAAUCUGCGCUGGAGAAGACAAGACGGAGAGAUAUUCCACAAGGAGGAAGAGGAGGAGGAGGAGGAGAAGGAGAAGUACUUCGAGCCGUGAGAUACCAGCACCCACAAUGACAAGCGAGGGCUUUCAGCGAUAGAGCCGUCGAUGCGGGCUCUGCCGUGUGGUAGAUGACUGCAUCUGGAGUUUUGAGUCCUGAGCUGAGGGUGCUAAUGAAAGUCAAGGUCAUCUACCACACGGUACAGCCCACAUCAAGAGGGCUCUAUCACUAUUAAAACAUGAUUUAAUUCUUUAUUUUCUCUUUAAAAAAAAACAACAACUUUAAAACCUAUAUUUACGUUGAACUUCUGAUAUUUCGGCAGAUAACCUUCCGCUGAGGAAGAUAGUCCCUAACAUAAUUAGAAUAGAAAAAUGACAUGCGCGUAGAUAAAACCGUUAUUAUCAUUAUUAUUAUUAUGACAUUGCCAGAUAAAUUAACUGUAGGCUUGUUGAAUAGUCUGUGUAGUAUUGAGGCAGACUCAAAACUUGUUAUUAUCAUUAUUAUUAUUAUGACAUUGCCAGAUAAAUUAACUGUAGGCUUGUUGAAUAGUCUGUGUAGUAUUGAGGCAGACUCAAAACUUGUUAUUAUCAUUAUUAUUAUUAUGACAUUGCCAGAUAAAUUAACUGUAGGCUUGUUGAAUAGUCUGUGUAGUAUUGAGGCAGACUCAAAACUUGUUAUUAUCAUUAUUAUUAUUAUGACAUUGCCAGAUAAAUUAACUGUAGGCUUGUUGAAUAGUCUGUGUAGUAUUGAGGCAGACUCAAAACUUGUUAGAGGCGGGGCGUCAUUCAAGCUGGCAGGGAGUGGAUUGGCUGCUGUGGAAAGAACUGAAGCAGGGUUGGCAGUUUGACUGGCUGGUUUUGAUGGAGGGUGUUGUUUGGAUCCAGCUGAUGACAGAAUUGUGGACCAGUCGUGUCUUUCCUGUUGAUUUUCUGUGAAUUGAGCCUUCAUUACGCUGUCCUGUCACACACAUGAUUUUGCUUGUCUCUAGACCAACGUCAGAAAGUGUGUUUAAGUAGUUUUUUAUGUGAUCAGAUUAGUUGUAGAUUAGAGUGUUAAGGGAGAAAGCUGGUAUUUAUGCACAGAUUGAUUUAAAAUGUAAUUCACAGCUAAGCACUUCAACGUUGCAACAUUCCGGAAGCCCGCUAGAUCUGGAAGCUGAUUGGCUGUUCGCACUCAAUUUUCUGCUGGUUAAUAUUCAUCUGACAUUAUCUACUGGUGUUUUUUUUUUUUUUUAAUUUUAUGAUAAUUUAAAUAUAUAUUCAAUUAUUUACUGGUGCUGCACAUUUAUAGUAAGUUGAUAGUGAGUGUGUGUGUGUGUUUUAAUGUAAUGAUAAUUUAAAUAUAUAUUCAAUUAUUUACUGGUGCUGCACAUUUAUAGUAAGUUGAUAGUGAGUGUGUGUGUGUGUUUUAAUGUAAUGAUAAUUUAAAUAUAUAUUCAGGGCUUCGGAUUUUCAGUUUUAACCCCUGAUACAAAAAGAUUUAAUCGGUUAACAGACAAUAAACACCAGAAAAACUGUGGAAAUGGUUAAUCUAUGCAUGUUGACUGUACCCUUUUCACAUUUAAAAAAAUCAAACCCUGUGAAUACAUUUCACAGGGCUGCUGGGCAAUGUCCUGCCUUCCUGACUUGUGUCUAUCAUUGAUUCGUUCUGAAUACUUUAAACCCACCCCAACUACUGAGUGACAGCACAUUCCUACAUUUCUAUUGGAGACUCCGCUGGCGAGAUUUAAAACGAGAUUACACUCAGGAUGGAAGCUUGUUAGCGGGAUUUCAAGCUGUAUUACAGUUAAGAUACGGAGGAUUUAAAACUGAAUUGUGACAAUGUACAUAAAUUCCUACACACAAACCCCAGAAGAAUGUUGAUGUGACCUCAGGGAUUUCGUUGUGGAAGACAGCAAAGGAAAGAAGGUACAACUUAAGUGUGCAAGUGCUGUCGAGUUACUGCUAUACAUAUUGUCACACACACACAAAAAAGCAUUUUGGAAAGUAACCAAAAACACUAAUUUCAUACAGAAUAUCAAAAACGAAAGCCCCGAAAAAAAAACGAUUAACAUAAAACUCGAAUAGCUAAAAAUUAGCACCGAAAAAUACAAUUAAUAAAACCCGAAAAACAGAAGCCCUAAAUAUAUUCAAUUAUUUACUGGUGCAGCACAUGUUUAUAUUAAGGUGAUGGGGUGUGUGUUUUUAAUUUAAUGAUAAUUUAAAUAUAUGUUCAAUUAUUUACUGGUGCAGCACAUAUUUAUAUUAAGGUGAUGGGGGGUGUGUGUUUUAGUUUAAUGAUAAUUUAAAUAUAUGUUCAAUUAUUUACUGGUGCAGCACAUAUUUAUAUUAAGGUGAGGUGUGUGUGUGUUUUAGUUUAAUGAUAAUUUAAAUAUAUGUUCAAUUAUUUACUGGUGCAGCACAUAUUUAUAUUAAGGUGAGGUGUGUGUGUUUUAAUGUAGUAAAUGAUUCUAAUAGAGGUUACAUUAGUUACUGGUGCAAGUUUCUUUUAGCUUGUAAAGAAUAUAUUCAGAGUGGUAACAGAGUAAUAGGCCUCUUCCCCAUGGCAUGGCAGAGCAUGGAUUCACAGAAUGAAUGUACAAUUUGCAGUGUACUAUUAAAUCCUAUAGAGGGCACCACAAACACAUUUACUGAGGGAGGAAGGGAGCAAGCUCCUGUAUAAUUAUACAAUCACCUGGAAGGUCUUGAUGCUGCAGAGCAUUACAAACAGCAGCCAGGAUACAGGUGUUGAAUUGCUUAUCAGGAGGACAGGGCUAAGGUAGAUGGCAGAUGAAGGACAGUUCUCUUUUUCACAUGAUCCUCCAGUGCAAUGACAUGGGCAGCUCUAGCCUGGGUCACUCUGAGUCUCUGUCUGGGUAAGUGAGACGAGUUGUCCUAGUGCAGCUCAGCAAGCUGGUCUCUUCCAGUCCAGGUCUGCGUUCCAACCAUGGCUGCGUUUCUACCUGGAGGAAAAGCCCUCCAGGACUGGAGCCUGUCGCAAUCCAAGUGAAGCUGCAGCAUAUACUAGCACUGUGGCGCCCCCUAUGGUCUUUAAAUAGGUCUGCAUUAUCACACAGAAAUAUAUGUGCAGUCUGCAGGGUGCAAUGCAACAUGGGGUGAAGUCAUUAAGGCUAUGAGUAGGGUGGUUUGCUACAGCUUAUGAUUUCAAUGGAAAUGUCUUAUUUUUUCUGAUAUUUAAUUUACAUUACUGUAAAAAACAUAAAAAUAACAGGGUCACUGACUCAGUUUUAUUUCCCAUUAUAGUGUAUGGGGAGCAGGGGAGGGGACCCAGAUCCAUGCAUUCAUGAAACAUGUUCCUCUCAUGCAAACACAUAGAAAUCACACGAGCUGUACCAAAGAAUAUGUGCGAUUCAUGUCAUUGUAUUGUAUGAAGGGUUGUGCAUCACAACGAUACUCUACUACUCUGUAUUUCUGAAUGUAUUUUUGCUGAUUUAUUUCAAUAAAGUUUCAAUCUCAA